GAGCCGCCGGCGGUCGUGCGGCCCGCAGAGCCGUGCUGACGGACACGCCAACCGGGCCGCGCCCCGCCGCCCACCAGUCUGCUGACAGCCCACCGUAGCUUACAGUGGAUCACGGUGGUUCACGGAGGAGCACGGGAUCUGCUGCAACCCGACCGUGCCGGUGGGGUGAGGGAGACUGUAACUCACGGAAGCCCACGUGACUUGCUGCAACCGGCCAAAAGACUGAUUAUAUAAUCCAGUAGGUGGAGAGACAAUAGCCAAGGACUGGUGAUGGCGAACAGGGGCUGUACUAAACGCAUGGUCCAGGCUGUCCUCGCCUUCUUCAUCUUCCUUUACUGGACGUCCGGCUGCGCGCUGCUGGUGCUGGGCUCGGCG